rnacentral:tRNA from 1 species
GGGGCGUUAGCUCAGUUGGUUUAGAGCACUACCUUGACAGGGUAGGGGUCACUGGUUCGAGUCCCGUACGCCUCA